AUGAAUAUACUCGCAUGGAAUUGGGGGGGGGGCAGGAAUCGCCGGACAGUUCACGAUGUUUUGGCCCUCUCACAAGCCAACUCCCCAAAGCUUGUCUUUUUGAGUGAAACAAGACAGGAUGUUAACAAAGUUCAAAAUAUUAAGUGGAGACUGGGUCUGGAAGGUUUUUGUGGUGUUUCAACCAAUGGUUUGAGUGGGGGUUUGGCUCUUUAUUGGGACGAAACUCUACAAGUUUCAGUUCUUGAAUCUUGUUCCCGAUAUAUUGAUGUAAUGAUUGAUGAUAACAGUCAUGGUGUUCGAUGA
rnacentral:rRNA from 1 species